UCAUGAGGCUCUCAGCACAGUCCCCCAUGACAUCCUGAUCUCCACAUUGGAGAGCUCUGGCUGUGAAGGCCGGGUGAUUUGGUGCCAAGCACUUGUCCCGAUGGACACAGCUGUGAGAGUGGGAUCGAGUGCACCCCCAGCACCUUUACAGCUGACAGGAAGCUGAGCUGGACAGGUGACACAAGUAAAAGAAAGGACCAUACAGAGGGACCUGGCCAAGCUUGAGAAGUGGAACUGCAAGAACCCAGUAAAGUGCAACAAGUUCAAGGUCCUGCACCAUGGAUCGGGCAAUUCAAGUGUAGUUAUGCAAAUCACACCACUAAGCACCCGUCAUUCCUCAUCAGCUCUUGGGAGAGUAAUUUAUGAGUGCACGAUCCUUCAGCUCAUCAGCCACCUGCCUGAGCCAAGCCGACUUCAAACAGCAACGCUUCGAUCAAUAUUUUUGGAAACAAGCUCUAUUGUUCCUUUGAGGCUUUUGGUUCUGUUUUCUCCCUGUCACACGCUCUUCAAAUCUAAAUACCAGGUUAUGAAGAUACUUAUUUCACCUCAGCAUGGCCUUUGAGCAUGGGAAGUGCAUGUUGAUGCUCCUAAUCUGUAGUUGAGCUCACCAGCAAAUAGACUGAACAGGUAAAGCUACUAAGGAGAUUUCAUUUGUGUAGAGUUUGAGUUAAAUUUUUCACAAUGUAUCAGUUUGUAAGAAAUUAAUCACAUUUAUAUGAUAUUUGCUUGUGAUCAUCUAGAAACCUUCUACAUAGCGGAAGUCUCUGUUCUCUUUGAAUUUCUCUAUUCUGCUCCCACCAAAACAUAUUUUCUCAGAUACACUGGUUGGAUUCUCCUCUAUAAUCUACUUUGUGGAAAAUCAUACUCAGAGGCCUUCCACUGGUGGAAAAAAGGUGUAAACUCUUGUGUCAGCCAAUAACAAAAUAAGCUAAGAAAGCACAGUUCAUUUCCCAUUUUACUUUUUUCUUCAAAAGUCAUCAUAGAACUAAAGAAUGGAAAAUAAAUGUCUUCAUUUUGA